UGGUAUCGGGGACUCGGCCGGCAUCGUUAGCACAGAAGAUCCUCAGUCAUAGUUAACAAAAUGGAAAAAAAUUAGCUGUGUUUUUAAGAUUCCAGUGGUGGCCAUCAACUGCUCAGGAAAGCAGCCCAGAAUCACUUCACAACAGGUUUCCAAAGGAUCAUCAUUCAUCAGCACAGAAGGGUGGGAAAGAGAAGGCUGUUCAAAUUAUGAAAAGCCAGAGCUGCAAAGGAGGUCAAAGAUGCAGUGCAUUUGGCCCACUCAGUAGAGUUUCACUAGUGGUUCUGAUGUGGACUGAAGAUUACACGCUGGAUUGAAGUGGCCGGUCUGGAGCAGCUGUAGUUUAUCAUUCUUGCUGAUUGUGGCCGAGUAAGAGCCCGCGUUGGCCCCGAUCGGCGAUCGCUGGCCAAAGCCCACCACCAGUUUGGUGAUAGGCGUUGGCUGUGAUAUCUAGUGUCGCCUAUGUGUGAAAAGGACAAGUUGAUAACAAAACCUGUUGCGCCAUGUUAUUAACCCGCGCCCGGGUGGCCCUCAGCCAACUUGGGGGGGGGGGAGGUGUAUUCGGCCACACUAGGUUAUCUUGGAAUGUAGCAAAGCUGGAAAGACGCAGUAAAAUCAAUCUAUAGAUCGCUAUUUUUCUUCAGAAUCAUACAGGUCAUUUUUGAUCAGGUCAUCGCUGAGGUCACUGGAGGUCACCAAAAGUAAAAUGAUGACGAAUUUUGGCCCCCGAUUUUGACAACUUCACAAAUUGGUUCAUAAUUCGGGAACCAAAGAAGCUACAGCGCCGCGGAAAAGCGAAUUCGAUAGCUCUUUCGAAAAUCUUUCAGGUUAUCAGAUUUGAGCUAAGGUCAACUAGGGUUAAGCCUCCAAAGGGCAAAAACUGAACAAUCGGCUUGCUUCGGAAGUCAUCUUUUCUUUAAAAAAAUUUAAACUGAUACCAACCUUUUAUUACGUUGAUUUUACCGGCACUGCGUUUCUCUCGUCUUCUUGGCCUAACAAGGUCAGCUUAAUAAAUUUGACCUCAGGUCAAUGUCGUAGAAAAUGCCAUUUUGCAUGUCAUUGAUUCGUUACAUUGAAAUUGAGAUUAACAUCAGUAGCGGCGGAACACCUUCAAUCGAGGGGGCAUUGCCGACUUUUGGUCUCAUUCUUUCCAUGCAACGGCCAUAGGGCUAAUGUUAAAAUGCCAAAAUCAAAGGGGGCACGGUGCCCCGGUGCCCUCGACCUGUUCCGCCGCCUAUGAUUAUGAUGCUUUUAGCGCUCUGGCCACGUUCCAUCUAAAAUCGAUGUACAAAAAUAAACUGUUGGGACUUGGGAGGCGUUACAUGACCUGAGAUGACCUCAGGAGCAUACGAUAGAUCCCGAUGUUUGAGUGCUUUUGUUUCAAAAGCAGAACAUUUCGUCUUUCGAGUUCCUCAUACUGACUGAAACUGGAGACGUCGCAAAGUUGACCUGACCCUAGGUCACCACCGAUAUCAAAAUUAAAGAUAUUCAAGAUGUUGGUACUGAUUCUCUCAUGCAAUAGCUCGAGUUUCAAACUUC